CAAAGUUCUGCUCCCUUUUUCAGAGGAUGUCAGCCCUGAGGCUGGAGCUGCUGGUCCACUGGAGACGGUCGGAAGGAAGAGCCAGAGCCUUGGUACCCAUACCUACCUGCAGCCCAGGUGGUGACAGGCAGAGGCCAGAGACUGAGGCUGGCCGUGUGGUUGGCUUGCUUUACAUACACCUACAGUGCAGGUCACAGUGGGGAUCCCCAAGGCAGAAACACUUCGGUGAGAAACAUGCACAAGGCGAGUCUUCUGAGGUCUGUGCUGGAAAUGUGGCCACGCCCCUCUCAGGCAGACCCCUAGACUGUCUCCAGCCAAUUCAACCCUGAGGAGAGGUGUUAGAGUCCUGUUACACUCUCUCACUUGGACCCCUGCAAUGGCCUCAGUGGCCUCCUCGCUAUGGCUGCUUCUCACUGGGCCUGUCACUGGAAAGACAGCCUCCCAUCCAGAACAAAAGCUCACGGAGUCCAGGGCUCUCUCUGGUUCUUCCACAGCUCCGAUGCCUUUCAGGAUUCACACUGGCCUUCCUCGGGACCCAUAAACGUACUCUUUUUCCUUUUAGAAGUGUCUCUGCUCCACACCCUGAUCCUGCUGUUGUUGGCUUCUCUGAUCUCCCAGGUUUUAACUCCCAGCUUCAAUAUGAAAAGCUCCCAGCUUCCAAGAUAAGGGGAGGCCACAACAGAUGCUGCCAUUCUCACAGGAAUUCACCACAAAGGGUCCUCCAAAAUGGGAGGGGGGAAGACUCCCAGGGCAAAACAUUAUCUUCCUACGCAGAAGAGAAACUUUCAGAUCAGUGAAAGCGCACUGGACAAAGACCUCAUAGGUCUUGGGUGCAGGGGGCUCCUGUUUCUGUGUUCUCAAAUACGGAGCAUGCACCUUUCUGACCUGGUGCUGUGUGUUUCCCUGCCGGCCUGCGGGUGCAGAGGACAUUCCGCUGAAGGCAGCCUGCAUGCUUCACCAGCUCACCAACCCAUGCUCGAAGUUUGUUUUGCACUCAGCAUGAAGCUACGCGUGUGCGUGUUCCCUGGAGAGCAGACUGUUUCCACAGCCGAGUAUAUGCUGAACAGAGGGCAGUGGUUGUUCCGGCUGCUUUAAAACCCUGAGGCCAGGAGGUGGGGUGACUCGGUCCUAACUUCUCAUAGGCUGGAUCUUGUUUUCUGCUUAGCCUCCGCCAUCUUGAAUGGGAAUCUCCCACAGCAAUCCUGAACAGCUUGAUGCACAUCCCCGCUUUCAAAAGGCUUCUCCCAGUCACACAAACCGAACAGAGCCUGGUAAGCGAAGCUGAGCUAGCUGCCCUGCCUCCUUUCCCUCCAGCGGAGCCACUGACCUGGACCACACUCAUGGAAGAGGGUCCCAGCUUGCCUCGCCCACUGAAGACGACCAUUCACCCUGGGAGCUGGAGCCUCAUCUCCAAGGGAAACAGGCUUCCCACUGCCUGGGAGGCCAUGAGGGAAAGGUGGAGAGGAACGUGAGGGAAGGGGCUAUCCUUCCACCCAGUGAGGCUAAAGACACAUGGAUCCCUCACAGUUAAAGAGCACUGGGUGUGGGGGUGCAGGCCGAAGCAGGAGGGGUACAAGUCUAAGGCCUUUCUGCCUGCACAGUGAGUUCGAGGCUCGCCUGAAUAACUUCAAAGUGUAAGGAGGGCCAGGUGUGUGGCUACUGAGUGUUUGCACAGUGUGCCCAAGGCCCUGGGUUCCAGGCUCAGCUCGGCAAAGGAAAAAGACAAAGCGAAGUCAAGUUAUUACGCAAUCAUGUAGUUUUCUCUUUCUUUCUUUCUUCCUUUCUUUCUUUCUUUCUUUCUUUCUUUCUUUCUUUCUUUCUUUCUUUCUUUCUUUCUUUCUAGAUGGAGUCUCACCCCAUAGCUCAGGCUGACCCUGGUUUUUAGAUCUUGCGGCUUGCUCCUCUCAAAUGCUUCAAUUCUAGGCGUGUACCACCAUGGCCAGCUAAUUUUUCUUUCAUUAUGGAAAACAUGUCCGCUUGAGUUGUUAAGCUUUAUCCCCUGACGAGGCUUAGCCUUCUGUGUAUGCCCUGGCCUUG
rnacentral:lncRNA from 1 species